rnacentral:rRNA from 1 species
UACGUAGGGGGCAAGCGUUGUCCGGAAUCAUUGGGCGUAAAGCGCGUGUAGGCGGCUUCGUCAGUCCGUUGUGAAAGUCCAGGGCUCAACCCUGGAAUGCCGAUGGAUACUGCGGAGCUAGAGUCCGGAAGAGGCGAGUGGAAUUCCUGGUGUAGCGGUGAAAUGCGCAGAUAUCAGGAAGAACACCCGUGGCGAAGGCGGCUCUCUGGGACGGUACUGACGCUGAGACGCGAAAGCGUGGGGAGCGAACAGG